rnacentral:rRNA from 1 species
GUGAGGAAUAUUGCACAAUGGGCGAAAGCCUGAUGCAGCAACGCCGCGUGAGUGAUGAAGGCCUUUGGGUCGUAAAACUCUGUCCUUGGGGAAGAAAAAAAUGACGGUACCCUUGGAGGAAGCCCCGGCUAACUACGUGCCAGCAGCCGCGGUAAUACGUAGGGGGCAAGCGUUAUCCGGAAUUAUUGGGCGUAAAGAGUGCGUAGGUGGUUUUGUAAGCGUAGGGUGAAAGGCAGUAGCUCAACUAUUGUUAGCCCUGCGAACUGUGAGACUUGAGUGCAGGAGAGGAAAGUGGAAUUCCUAGUGUAGCGGUGAAAUGCGUAGAUAUUAGGAGGAACACCAGUGGCGAAGGCGACUUUCUGGACUGUAACUGACACUGAGGCACGAAAGCGUGGGUAGCAAACAGGAUUAGAAACCCUUGUAGUCC